AUUGGGCAAUGGGGGAAACCCUGACCCAGCAACGCCGCGUGAAGGAAGAAGGUUUUCGGAUUGUAAACUUCUGUCCUUGGUGAAGAGAAGAAGACGGUAGCCAAGGAGGAAGCCCCGGCUAACUACGUGCCAGCAGCCGCGGUAAUACGUAGGGGGCAAGCGUUGUCCGGAAUGAUUGGGCGUAAAGGGCGCGUAGGCGGCUUUAUAAGUCUGGAGUGAAAGUCCUCUUUUCAAGGGAGGAAUUGCUUUGGAAACUAUAGAGCUUGAGUGCAGGAGAGGUUAUCGGAAUUCCCGGUGUAGCGGUGAAAUGCGUAGAGAUUUGGAGGAACACCAGUGGCGAAGGCGACUAUCUGGUCUGUAACUGACACUGAGGCGCGAAAGCGUGGGGAGCAAACAGG
rnacentral:rRNA from 1 species